rnacentral:rRNA from 1 species
AUUGAACGCUGGCGGCAGGCCUAACACAUGCAAGUCGAACGAGUCGCGGACGGGUGUGCAAUGUCUGGGCAACUGCCUGAUGGAGGGGGUUAGCUACUGGAAACGGUUGCUACAACCGCAUACCUUCAGAUGUGCCCGGAUGGGCUUAGGGUGUUGUCGGGGUAACGGCAGACAAAGGCGACGAACCCUACCUGGUCUGAGAGGAUGACCAGUCACACGGGAACUGAGACACGGUCCAGACUACUACGGGAGGCAGCAGUGGGGAAUAGUGGACAAGGGGCGAAAGCCUUAUGCAGCCAUGCCGCGUGUGUGAGGAAGGUCUUCGGGUUGUAAAGCACUUUAAGUGGGGAGGCGUUACCCGCAGAAGAAGCACCGGCUAACUCCGUGCCAGCAGCCGCGGUAAUAC